GACGAACGCUGGCGGCGUGCUUAACACAUGCAAGUCGAACGGAAAGGCCCUGCUUGCAGGGUACUCGAGUGGCGAACGGGUGAGUAACACGUGGGUGAUCUGCCCUGCACUUCGGGAUAAGCCUGGGAAACUGGGUCUAAUACCGGAUAGGAGCCAUUUUUAGUGUGAUGGUUGGAAAGUUUUUUCGGUGUAGGAUGAGCUCGCGGCCUAUCAGCUUGUUGGUGGGGUAAUGGCCUACCAAGGCGGCGACGGGUAGCCGGCCUGAGAGGGUGGACGGCCACAUUGGGACUGAGAUACGGCCCAGACUCCUACGGGAGGGAGCAGUGGGGAAUAUUGCACAAUGGGCGCAAGCCUGAUGCAGCGACGCCGCGUGGGGGAUGACGGCCUUCGGGUUGUAAACUCCUUUCGCUAGGGACGAAGCUUUUUGUGACGGUACCUAGAGAAGAAGCACCGGCUAACUACGUG
rnacentral:rRNA from 1 species